GUUGAACGCUGGCGGCAGGCCUAACACAUGCAAGUCGAACGAGUGGCGGACGGGUGAGUAAUGUCUGGGCAACUGCCUGAUGGAGGGGGAUCACUACUGGAAACGGUAGCUAAUACCGCAUACCAUCCGAUGAACCCAUAUGGGAUUGGCUUGUUGGUGGGGUAACGGCUCACCAGGGCGACGAUCCCUAGCGGGUCUGAGAGGAUGACCAGCCACAUUGGAACGGAGAAACGGCCCAGACGCCGACGGGAGGCAGCAGGGGGGAAGAUUGCACAAUGGGCGAAAGCCUGAUGCAGCCAUGCCGCGUGUAGGAAGAAGGCCUCCGGGUUGGAAAGUACUUUCAGCGGGGAGGCGUUACCGGCAGAAGAAGCACCGGCUAACUCCGUGCCAGCCGCCGCGGUAAUAC
rnacentral:rRNA from 1 species